AGACCCGAAACCCGGUGAUCUAGCCAUGGGCAGGUUGAAGGUUGGGUAACACUAACUGGAGGACCGAACCGACUAAUGUUGAAAAAUUAGCGGAUGACCUGUGGCUGGGGGUGAAAGGCCAAUCAAACCGGGAGAUAGCUGGUUCUCCCCGAAAGCUAUUUAGGUAGCGCCUCGUGAAUUCAUCUCCGGGGGUAGAGCACUGUUUCGGCUAGGGGGCCAUCCCGGCUUACCAACCCGAUGCAAACUGCGAAUACCGGAGAAUGUUAUCACGGGAGACACACGGCGGGUGCUAACGUCCGUCGUGAAGAGGGAAACAACCCAGACCGCCAGCUAAGGUCCCAAAGUCAUGGUUAAGUGGGAAACGAUGUGGGAAGGCCCAGACAGCCAGGAUGUUGGCUUAGAAGCAGCCAUCAUUUAAAGAAAGCGUAAUAGCUCACUGGUCGAGUCGGCCUGCGCGGAAGAUGUAACGGGGCUAAACCAUGCACCGAAGCUGCGGCAGCGAACGUAUCACUUAAAGCGAUUCAGCGGGUUACGAUUGACGGAGCGAAGCGACGUCAAAGCGUAUACAAAGUCGAGUCGGUUUAAGGAUACGUUCGUUGGGUAGGGGAGCGUUCUGUAAGCCUGUGAAGGUGUGUCGUGAGGCAUGCUGGAGGUAUCAGAAGUGCGAAUGCUGACAUAAGUAACGAUAAAGCGGGUGAAAAGCCCGCUCGCCGGAAGACCAAGGGUUCCUGUCCAACGUUAAUCGGGGCAGGGUGAGUCGACCCCUAAGGCGAGGCCGAAAGGCGUAGUCGAUGGGAAACGGGUUAAUAUUCCCGUACUUGGUGUUACUGCGAAGGGGGGACGGAGAAGGCUAUGUUGGCCGGGCGACGGUUGUCCCGGUUUAAGCGUGUAGGCUGGUUUUCCAGGCAAAUCCGGAAAAUCAAGGCUGAGGCGUGAUGACGAGGCACUACGGUGCUGAAGCAACAAAUGCCCUGCUUCCAGGAAAAGCCUCUAAGCAUCAGGUAACAUCAAAUCGUACCCCAAACCGACACAGGUGGUCAGGUAGAGAAUACCAAGGCGCUUGAGAGAACUCGGGUGAAGGAACUAGGCAAAAUGGUGCCGUAACU
rnacentral:rRNA from 1 species